UCAGCGCCCCUGCGCGACCGAGCGCCGCGCUCGAGGCCGCGAGCUCCGCGGGGCACAGACGUCUGUCCUGCCCCAGCCGGGUGCGCCGCUGCCGCCGCCAACACCUGCCGGUGCCCCGAAGCCCGGCCCUACCUGGCUCCUCCGGUG